UUUUGGUCAAACGGAAUAGGAUGUACUUCACUUUUCCUUUUUAUCUUGUUCAGAUCGAUAAAGAGGAAACGGUAGGUUGCGGUUCCUCUGACUGCCGAUACAGAGAGAUAGAUCUAGUUCAGUCUCCUCUCUCUCUCUCUCUCUCUCUCCGCCGGAAAUACCUUCUCGUGGCCAUCGUCGGCGCACCGGACUUUUUCGUCGAACUUCGCCAGUGGAAUCGAAGCAGACACCGAUUUCAAAUUCGCUCAAGCUGUCUCUAUUAGUGUCGGACGUGAAUAGCCUAGGCGCUCUGGCUUUGUCAUCCUCACGCCAAGCUCUCAUCCUUGGCGUGUUCUGAGAUAUGUGAUGGCACUUCGUUAUAUGUUGAAUAAGUGUCGGCCCGUUUCAUCGCAAGUUGAAGCAGUAUCACCCCAAAGGAAUAUAUGUCAAGGCAUGUCUGGUUUGUACCUGUUAAUUAAUUUAAAUUUUGUCUUGUGAGAGAGUGGCUCCAUGCAUUCAUCUAGAUUCAAAUUAUACAUUCAGGCCGUUUGGAGACAAGAAGUAUUCAACAGACAGUAUGUGCAGAAGGAAAGGUGAAAGCACUUCAGCUUUAUCAGUCACGAAGUCAGGUUAAGCUGUUGACUUUUGCAGCACUUUCAUUUCGUCUCCAAGGAUUUGAAGCUGGAUAUUGCUUGGCGGGUUUGGAGAUCAUUUUAGCUUCAUCGAAAAGUAUGAGUGAAAAAGGUCUUCAAACAAGUACGCACAUGCCUUUCAAAUUUAAUCUAGACGGAUCUAAAACAUAGACGCGUGUGUACACGUUGGUUGACUCCAAACUGACAUGUAGAGGCCAAGAUGGAAGCUAUUGGGUUUGAGUAAACAUUCCGAAGAGGUAAGUUUGGUAUUCAGCUAUUUCGCCAAGUGGGGUGGAUGUUGCUCAUUAAGAAACUCAUCUAUGGACCAAAUGCAGUAAAUUUUGUCCCCUAUAGACAUCAAGUCAAAUCUCCCUAAUAUUAAUUGUGGUAAGCCGAACCCGACCUUGGUCAUGGGCCGAACCCAGAUAAACAAGAUGGCUGCCAAUCACACGACAAGCAGGAGUUGGCUGGGCUGAGCAUAUUGGGCUGAGCCUGAUGCCCACAUGCUCUGUUUGGGCCUGGCAGGGGUAACCUUGACCCACACCCUCUAAGACCGAGCACUGGUAAAUGGUAAUGGGUCAGGCGUAAGCCCAACAGUGGAGUUGAGCUAUGCAGUAGUAACUGAAGGGUUCCAAAAGGAUCUCAGACCUUCUGGGCACGUGGACACCGACUAUGUGAGUGAUUUUAGCGUGACGGCAUAACCGAAGCGGUUAUGGGUGACGUCAUGGGGAGCAAGUACGCUUGCAUAUAAGUACUAGAGGAUAACCCUUGGAAGAGGUAUGCCCGUUCUCCUAGCUACAGUACUUUCCCCUUCUAUUUCACGUACUUAGUUGAUCGUCGUAGGGGCGUACGGCUAUCCACAGUCCUACGCCUUUUUUGCAGGUCUUCCAAAGGAGGAGUGAGGAGAGCAGUUCGGAUCCAAAAAGUGUUCCUAGAAACCACCACCCGCAGUAAUCAUCGCAUCAUGCUCUUUGUUUUAACACUAUGCUAACUGCCUAAACAUUCUAAUCACCAUAAGAAAAGAAUCAAAAAAGAACAUUAAUAAUGGCAACUUAUGCAAUAGCUUUCAUCCAUGUAAUUAUACUAGUUACUAAACAGUGGCAUGUUAAGUUUAUUAAACUCAAACUGUCAUAGCAUUUGCUCAGAUAAACAUGAACUCAUACUAACUACAAAAGAGUAAACAUGUUAACUUACACAAAGCAAAAAUCACUUAUUUAAUCAUGCUAAUUACGUGGCAUCUUUACAAUUAACACGUCCCAUUUGAUGAUGCUUAUAAUUGAACAAUAGAUAAGGAUGUUAAAUUAUUCUUAUGGCAUAAGGCUAUAAGAGUAGAGUGGUCAAUUAGUCUACACAUAACAAACAUGUAGGAAUCAUCUUGUCACGGUCUCAGAAGCAUGCAAGUUCCUCAAACUUGGUGUCCUUGGGUUCAUUGACUUGUAAACAUGUUAAGCAUGUUGUUCAAGACAAGUACAUAACCAUAAAAAGUGAUGAUCCUUAUAGAAUGGAGUCAUGUCUAUAUUGAAUACCGAUAGUCCUGAGAUUCUACCGCAUAGUAUCUGAUACUUCUUGAAUUUUCGUAUGUACCCAAAUACACAAUUUUUUCAUUUCAAAUGGAGUAUCAGUUACUUUCCAAUAUUAGUUACACAUCCAAAUUUUAUGAAAUCGAGAUUGUGAUAUUUGCCCUAUAGAAUGUGUGUAUCCUGGUGUAGAUAGAUUAAAGAAAAGUUUCUGGACAGAUAACUUAGUGUUUUAGUAAUUUGUAGAUGAACAAAACAGUAAGAUUAAAGUAAUAUCCUAUUUUUCCAUAAUUUUUGUGUUUAUAUUAUGUCACAUGUGUGUUUAUAUCCCAUAGGCUGGCUAAUGGUGGUUCUAAUAUUAAAAGACAACUUUAGAAGA